rnacentral:ncRNA from 1 species
UUAAUUGCAUCGAUCAAGAUUAGUAGUGCUGUUGGUCUUUUAUAGAGAGGGUUAGUUUGGUGGAAUAACUUAAAGAUCAGGCAUGAAUUUCAUCUUGGGAGCAGAAUCUAAUCAAUUCCGGUAUUUCCCCGUUAAAAGAAAAAAGUGUGAACACGCACUUUUAUUAGUUUGUGUUCAAACUAGGGUGGUACCGCGAAGCUUCGUCCCUUUU